rnacentral:misc_RNA from 1 species
AAGGUGAGGACUUCAGUGGUGGUGGUGGAAGUAGAAAUUACCGAAGGGAAGAAAAUGGCUACAGUCGCAGCCCCAGUCCGUUGCCUAGAGAAGAAAGGAGUCCUGUAAACGACGAAGAUAACAACGGUUCUCCAAGGGGCGGCAGUGAGUCUGCAUAAUAGACAGUUCCUUAUUUUGCUUCUGCUUAAACACAUGAGUUUGCGUUGGAAUUUUAUAAGCGACUUGUGCCUCAAGAGAGACUUUUAAAAUAGAUCUGUAUUGUGAUUGAAUCCCGCCUCAAAUGUUCAUCAGCACCGUAUUU